CUUAAUAAUCAUAACAACUAAUCAUGACAUCUAUUCAUAUCUCUAAGAUAUGAAAUCAUGAUUAUUCAAUAUGAUUAUAACUAAGCAUCUCAAGCAUAUCACAUAUGCAUAAAGUUCUAAUAAUAUGCAUGAAUACAAAAUAUUUUUUUUGCAGUUCUUCUUCUUAGGACAUCACAAUGGUACCCCUACGUGCCAUAAGAGUACCCCAUU
rnacentral:lncRNA from 1 species